rnacentral:tRNA from 1 species
GCCGGAGUGGCGGAAUUGGUAGACGCGCUGGAUUCAAAAUCCAGUUUGGGCAACCAAGUGCCGGUUCGAGCCCGGCCUUCGGUA